UAGGGGAGGCACCUGAACUGGGUGUUAAAGCACUCAGGCCUAGUGCCCUGGGGCCGAGUUCAUGGCUUCCAAAAGUGACUAGUGGGGGAUGUGGGAGCGUCCUGCUGCCCUCCAUCUUGGAUCCCCAAGUUUGUUCUUUCCCAGUGGCAGCCUCAGGAGAUGCCCUGAGGGGCAGGCUGGUGGGGAGCCGGGCAGCAUCCGUGACCCUUCCUGCGAGCGCCCCAGGCUUCCUAUCGGGACGUGGGCUCAGCCGGCGGGCAGUGGCACCUGCUGGGGCUCCGAGGAGCUCGAGGAGUCGAUCUCCACCCCGACGCCUGGUGCGCAGCCCUCGGAGCACAGGCUAUCUCCGUCUUUCAUUUUCAGAACGAGGCUGGGGGGCUCUGAGGAUGUGUGCUCUCGUGUGAAAGCCCCACGAGGUCCUUCCUGACGCCGACCUCUCCCAGCCCCGAGUUCCAGGGGAGGACAGCGAGGCGCGGCACGGACCCCAGGACGAGGGCAAGGGGGAGGGCUCCCAGGCCUGCCUCCCUUUCAUGCUGGGCCUAGUGAGGUCACGUCAUGCACACGUAAUCAAUCCAAGUCAUUUCUAAACUCUGGAAGUUCUUAAUUGGGCUCUUGGGAGGAAGAAAGAGGAAGAGGAAAACUUGGAGGCCAGUUGCCAGCCCUCUGGGGACACGCAGUCCCAUCUCACAGGAGGAGUGAAUCGGUGUUCUCACGGGGUUUUCUGAAGCCAUCUGCAUUUCAGAGCUUUGUGAUGGAGCGAAGUUCUUCACUCCCACUCCUGGGCUGAUCUCCUCUGGGAGGCGCACUUCGGGAGCUUUUAUGUCAACUUCAGUUUCAAAAAUAAGAUUCUUUCAUUAAAAAAAGCCUGAAUCAUUUAUGCAGACAAUGCUGAUCACACACUCCCUUCUCUCCCAACAUUCCAGCCCCAUUCUUUCCCGCCUGUGCUCGCCUUGGACGACAAGAACCUGUGGAAAACCAGCUUCUCAGUCCUGCUCCCUCGGCCCCCCUGGGGUGGCACUGCUGUCUGCAUCUCCUCUUUGGAGGGAGCUCAAGGCCAACUCAAGCGGGGGCCGGGCGUUGGCCGUGCCUGGGCUGGGGUGGUCUUGCCGAGGAGGAGAUGGGUGGCAGGUCCCGGAAGGUCUUUCCUGGGAAAGGCUGUUGGCAUGGACUGCGGUUCCUCUCCUUUGUGGAGUUGUGCCCACUCAACACAUCAUCCUGUAGAGCCCCCUCCUGCGCUGGCUUUGGUGGUCAGGGCUGCUCCUGCCUCCCCUCUAGAGGCCACCUGGGUUCACGCUGGUCCCACACUGGGCUUAGAGUCAUGCUGGGGGAGUGUGAAGUCACACGGAGGACCUGUGUUGUUCUUGGAGCAUCCAAUGUAUCUGAUGAAAAGGAAGAAAACACGUUUAUCAUAAAAGGCACACAGGCAUAUGUUACAAAGAAGAAUGCAAAAUUUACACUAAUUUUUAAGAAAGAGAAAGUCAUGAAGAAAUGUGCUUGCAGCCAGAGGCUUUGUUGUAGGAAGAGCCCCCUGGUCAUCGUUGAGGGGUCACCAAGAGCGGGCAGAGCUCGGUGGAGUGGCAGGUAGGAACGGGAGCAUGGCAGAGCCCAUGUGCACCCUUGUGGGUGGUGCUCUCUGGGGAAGAUGCUAGAAGGCACUCAGUUUGACCAAUGCCUUGAAAGAGAAAAGGAACACCAGUGACCUCGGUGGCAGUGCAUGGACUGCAUCUGCUAACAUUUCCUGGUAACCAAAGACAAUCGGGGCUGGCUGCUCUUGGAUCAGGGCCGUUCAGAGCAGUGAGGUUUGCACACACUCCUCUUCACAGCAUCUGAUCCACUAGGCACGGAUGACCUUACAUUGUGACAGGAUCCUGAUCUCCUCCAGUGCUGGUCCUGCUCCUCAUCCACAUGAGGAGAGCAUGGACAACGCAGAGUGGAUGUC
rnacentral:lncRNA from 1 species